rnacentral:tRNA from 1 species
AAUUUAAAUAAUUUAAUAAAAAUAUUGAUUUGUGGUGUCAAAAAUAUGAAAUAAAUUUCAUUUUAAGUUA